UCAUCAGGACCACAGUGUGCUGAGAUGUUGUUACAGCAUGAGACUCUUAAUCUCAGGGUCAUGGGUUCUAGCCCCACAUUGGGUGAA